UACGAACUGUGCGAACGUUAUUCGGAAUCACUGGGCUUACAGGGUGCGUAGGCGGCCUAGCAAGUCAGGUGUGAAAGCCCCCGGCUCAACCGGGGAACUGCGCUUGAAACUGCUGAGCUCGAGUCAGCUAGAGGUACACGGAACUUCCAGUGGAGCGGUGAAAUGUGUUGAUAUUGGAAGGAACACCGGAGGCGAAAGCGGUGUACUGGGGCUGGUCUGACGCUGAGGCACGAAAGCCAGGGGAGCUAACGGG
rnacentral:rRNA from 1 species